rnacentral:rRNA from 1 species
AGUUUGAUCGAUUGGCUCAGGACGAACGCUGGCGGCGCGCCUAACACAUGCAAGUCGAACGAGAGAUGAGGAGCUUGCUCUUCAAAUCGAGUGGCGAACGGGUGAGUAACGCGUGAGGAACCUGCCUCAAAGAGGGGGACAACAGUUGGAAACGACUGCUAAUACCGCAUAAGCCCACGGCUCGGCAUCGAGCAGAGGGAAAAGGAGCAAUCCGCUUUGAGAUGGCCUCGCGUCCGAUUAGCUAGUUGGUGAGGUAAUGGCCCACCAAGGCGACGAUCGGUAGCCGGACUGAGAGGUUGAACGGCCACAUUGGGACUGAGACACGGCCCAGACUCCUACGGGAGGCAGCA